ACGCUGAAGGAGGAGCUUGCUUCUCUGGAUGAGUUGCGAACGGGUGAGUAACGCGUAGGUAACCUGCCUGGUAGCGGGGGAUAACUAUUGGAAACGAUAGCUAAUACCGCAUAACAGUAGAUGUUGCAUGACAUUUGCUUAAAAGGUGCAAUUGCAUCACUACCAGAUGGACCUGCGUUGUAUUAGCUAGUUGGUGGGGUAACGGCUCACCAAGGCGACGAUACAUAGCCGACCUGAGAGAGCGGUGAUCGGCCACACUGGGACUGAGACACGGCCCAGACUCCUACGGGAGGCAGCAGUAGGGAAUCUUCGGCAAUGGACGGAAGUCUGACCGAGCAACGCCGCGUGAGUGAAGAAGGUUUUCGGAUCGUAAAGCUCUGUUGUAAGAGAAGAACGAGUGUGAGAGUGGAAAGUUCACACUGUGACGGUAUCUUACCAGAAAGGGACGGCUAACUACGUGCCAGCAGCCGCGGUAAUACGUAGGUCCCGAGCGUUGUCCGGAUUUAUUGGGCGUAAAGCGAGCGCAGGCGGUUAGAUAAGUCUGAAGU
rnacentral:rRNA from 1 species